rnacentral:rRNA from 1 species
UACGUAGGGCGCAAGCGUUGUCCGGAAUUAUUGGGCGUAAAGAGCUCGUAGGCGGUUUGUCGCGUCUGCUGUGAAAACCUAAGGCUCAACCUUGGGCCUGCAGUGGGUACGGGCAGACUGGAGUGCGGUAGGGGAGAAUGGAAUUCCUGGUGUAGCGGUGGAAUGCGCAGAUAUCAGGAGGAACACCGAUGGCGAAGGCAGUUCUCUGGGCCGUAACUGACGCUGAGGAGCGAAAGCGUGGGGAGCGAACAGG